AUGAGUUGCGAACGGGUGAGUAACGCGUAGGUAACCUGCCUGGUAGCGGGGGAUAACUAUUGGAAACGAUAGCUAAUACCGCAUAAUAUUGAUUAUUGCAUGAUAGUCAAUUAAAAGGUGCAAUUGCACCACUACCAGAUGGACCUGCGUUGUAUUAGCUAGUUGGUGGGGUAACGGCUCACCAAGGCGACGAUACAUAGCCGACCUGAGAGGGUGAUCGGCCACACUGGGACUGAGACACGGCCCAGACUCCUACGGGAGGCAGCAGUAGGGAAUCUUCGGCAAUGGACGGAAGUCUGACCGAGCAACGCCGCGUGAGUGAAGAAGGUUUUCGGAUCGUAAAGCUCUGUUGUAAGAGAAGAACGAGUGUGAGAGUGGAAAGUUCACACUGUGACGGUAUCUUACCAGAAAGGGACGGCUAACUACGUGCCAGCAGCCGCGGUAAUACGUAGGUCCCGAGCGUUGUCCGGAUUUAUUGGGCGUAAAGCGAGCGCAGGCGGUUAGAUAAGUCUGAAGUUAAAGGCUGUGGCUUAACCAUAGUACGCUUUGGAAACUGUUUAACUUGAGUGCAAGAGGGGAGAGUGGAAUUCCAUGUGUAGCGGUGAAAUGC
rnacentral:rRNA from 1 species